GGCGUUGGUUAAGAAACAGCAAGUUAAAUCUCUCUACGUCGCCUUAUUGUCGCAUUCAGUUAGUAACAAUCUUCGUCCUGUAGCUUUAAAUUUCCAUUUUUUACCCCGCAUGACUCCGUUCAUAGCAUUUGGCUGUGGCGGCAAACUUAUUAAAAUUUCAGGAUAAAUAUUAUGUCUACUACAGUAACUGGUACCGUAAAGUGGUUUAACGAAUCGAAAGGUUUUGGUUUUAUUGAGCAACAAGGUGGCGCAGACGUAUUUGCUCACUUUAGCGCUAUUUCAGGUAACGGUUUCAAAACCCUUGCCGAAGGCCAACGUGUAUCGUUCUCGAUCACUCAAGGUCCUAAAGGCCCACAAGCUGAAAACAUCGUUGCUUUAUAAGCUUCGCUUUUCGCUGUAAAAAUUGAUUGAAAAGGAGCUCUUUUGAGCUCCUUUUUUUG
rnacentral:sRNA from 1 species